CAUAUGUAACAUGAUGCAGUUCA
rnacentral:siRNA from 1 species